CUUAUUUUUUCUUCCCUGUUAGCUUCUGAUGGGACGACUGUGCUUGGAAAUUUGCCAGAGUAGAUAUCCAGAAAAAUUAUUGACGGUUAAAAUGUUUGGUUCCAACAUGAAUAAAGCAGAAUAAUGAGAAUAAAACCACAAAACCCUCUUAUUCUGGAGGAACAGUGUCCAAAAGGGGAGUUCUGGAAUAGCUGUUGUGGUAAACAGCCAGUGUAGGAAGCACUUGCUGCUAGGUACUGUAGUGGCUUUUUAAAAAGACCUUUAUAAGGAAGAACAUUAGAUGUUGAAAAGAACAUCUUGGCUCUUAGAGCAGAGCCAAGAUAAACUCAGAGGAGGCAAGAAAACUAAAUAACUAAAUAUUUAAACAAAUGAGGACCAGAAUAUGUUUGGCUCUGUCCAAAUUCACAUGAGAGGUGAAAGUCUCAAAGAGCUCUUCUCUUGCAGAUGUUCCUAUAUGGUUUACAGGAAAGAAUAAGAGACUAGUGCAGCACUAGACAGUGUCAACUAAAAAGGAAUCCUGAACUACUCUGCAGUCAAGAUGGCUGGGUGGUCACAGACCUUCACUGAACUGACAGUUGUUUCAACAGCAUUAAAAAGGCAUAAACAAGGAGUGAUUGAGGAGAAGGCCAGAGAUUCCACAACACAGCAAGGAGAGUACAGCCAGAAAACCAUCUCAGUGUAUUCUUCUGUGCAGAAAGGCACAAUGCCAGUUAUUCCACAGUGCCAGAACAACUUUUCUGAGGAAAUGCAUAAUAUUGAAAGAGACCUUUGAACAAGGAAACUCCUGCUGUCAUCAUCUGCCUGAAAUGUGACGGAAGGAGCCAGUGCUUGAAGGCAGAGUUAGGAGUCUGUUAGGAAUUACAAGCCGGGAGUCCCUUGUGAGUAACAGAAACAAAUUGGGCUAUGGACACUGUUCUGUGGAAUAUAUGGCCGCAGUUCCUUCCAGGAAACCUAGCCAAAACCACUUUUGAACUCUCUGUUAAAUGCACGUAUUUGGCUCAUAUUCAAGGUUAGCUAAGUAAAAUGUGAUUAAGUAUUUGUGGCCCUAGCUCUUCGCUGAUACUUAAGGUUUUACAUCCAGUGGAACUUAGAGGACAAACUCAUUACCAUUUGUCUAAGUCUACAAGUAUGUGGUAUGAAAGGUAAAAAUACUCUGAUUUUAGAACUUUCUGUAGCACAAUUAUAAAAAUAGGAACUAAGCAAAUACAUACUUGUAUUCAAGCCUAUUUUCUACUUUCAUAAUAUGUGCAUUCUUUACUUAUGUAUUUGCUGUAGAAAUUUAGGAUUCAUUCCUAAACUCUGCCCCAAACUCUGGUGUUCUCCUGAUUAAGGAUACCAGUUAAACUCAGACACCAGAGUGAAAAGAGCAUGUGUAUUUUACUAGUGAUAACCAAUGUAACAGCAUAAUACAGAAAACAUGCAGUAAGAAAAAGCAGA
rnacentral:lncRNA from 1 species